GACGAACGCUGGCGACGUGCCUAACACAUGCAAGUCGAGCGAGUGAAUCUCCUUCGGGAGUGAAGCUAGCGGCGGACGGGUGAGUAACACGUGGGCAACCUGCCUCAUAGAGGGGAAUAGCCUUUCGAAAGGAAGAUUAAUACCGCAUAAGAUUGUAGCUUCGCAUGAAGUAGCAAUUAAAGGGGCAAUCCGCUAUGAGAUGGGCCCGCGGCGCAUUAGCUAGUUGGUGAGGUAACGGCUCACCAAGGCGACGAUGCGUAGCCGACCUGAGAGGGUGAGCGGCAACAUUGGGACUGAGACACGGCCCAGACUCCUACGGGAGGCAGCAGUGGGGAAUAUUGCACAAUGGGGGAAACCCUGAUGCAGCAACGCCGCGUGAGUGAUGACGGCCUUCGGGUUGUAAAGCUCUGUCUUCAGGGACGAUAAUGACGGUACCUGAGGAGGAAGCCACGGCUAACUACGUGCCAGCAGCCGCCGUAA
rnacentral:rRNA from 1 species